CUUAAAAAGCACUUCACAUGGUCAGUGUCCCCAUGUGCUCAAAGUUCUAGGCCCAAGAAGUCACCUGCACCUUGUAACAAGAGGCCUGUGUCAUUCUUGUGUGCGACCAGCUGCCCUUGUGAGGCCUGCCGAGCCCUGGCAGAAACUGUAACGAUGAGUUUCACAUUUGCUUCUAUUCUGGGUGCUGUGGUCACAUGACAGACCUCUCUUCCUGAAAGCAAUACCUUCCUUACAGUGGCAGUAUUGUAAACCAAUAAAGUUUACUUUCAGAUAAACUGAAAAGCCCCAGGCACAGAAAACAUCAUCCUGUUGGAGACCGCAGUGCCAGCUUUCAGGAGAAUCCAAAGUGCUUCAGCAGCUCCUGCCCCACUCCGGGAAACAGCCAGCGGAGGUACACAAGUACAACCUGGCCAUCUUCCAGCGGCUCCCUGCACUGGAAGAGCAGCACCCCAGAAGCCUCAUCUCACGCUUCGGCCACGAGGAAUGAAGUUGGAGGGCUUACGACACAC
rnacentral:lncRNA from 1 species